rnacentral:rRNA from 1 species
UACGGAGGGUGCGAGCGUUGUCCGGAAUCACUGGGCGUAAAGGGCGCGUAGGCGGCGCGGGCAGUCAACGGUGAAAGCUCGGGGCUCAACUCCGAGUCGGCCGUCGAUACUCCCGUGCUCGAGCACUGUAGAGGCAGGUGGAAUUCCGGGUGUAGCGGUGGAAUGCGUAGAGAUGUGGAGGAACACCAGUGGCGAAGGCGACUCUGUGGCCUGUAACUGACGCUGAGGCGCGAAAGCGUGGGGAGCAAACAGG